UACGGAAGGCAGCAGUGGGGAAUAUUGCACAAUGGGCGCAAGCCUGAUGCAGCCAUGCCGCGUGUAUGAAGAAGGCCUUCGGGUUGUAAAGUACUUUCAGUCGUGAGGAAGGUGUUAAGGUUAAUAACCUUAGCAAUUGACGUUAGCGACAGAAGAAGCACCGGCUAACUCCGUGCCAGCAGCCGCGGUAAUACGGAGGGUGCGAGCGUUAAUCGGAAUUACUGGGCGUAAAGGGUACGCAGGCGGUUAAUUAAGUUGGAUGUGAAAUCCCCGGGCUUAACCUGGGAAUGGCAUUCAAGACUGGUUAGCUAGAGUCUUGUAGAGGGGGUAGAAUUCCAUGUGUAGCGGUGAAAUGCGUAGAGAUGUGGAGGAAUACCGGUGGCGAAGGCGGCCCCUGGACAAAGACUGACGCUCAUGUGCGAAAGCGUGGGGAGCAAACAGGGAUUAGAUACCCG
rnacentral:rRNA from 1 species